UGGGAUAUAGGAUGGGAUACAUGAUUCGAUGAUGGGAUAUAUAACAGGAUAUUGGAUUAGAUGGUGGGAUAUAGGAUGGGAUACAUGAUUCUAUGAUGGGAUAUAUAACAGGAUAUUGGAUUAGAUGGUGGGAUAUAGGGAUACAUGAUUCGAUGAUGGGAUAUAUAACAGGAUAUUGGAUUAGAUGGUGGGAUAUAGGAUGGGAUACAUGGUUCUAUGAUGGGAUAUAUAACAGGAUAUUGGAUUAGAUGGUGGGAUAUAGGGAUACAUGAUUCAAUGAUGGGAUAUAUAAGAGGAUAUUGGAUUAGAUGGUGGGAUAUAGGAUGGGAUACAUGAUUCUAUGAUGGGAUGUAUGACAGGCUAUUGGAUUAGAUGGUAGGAUGGACGGAUCAUAUGCUAGAUUCCAUAGGAGGUUCCAUGACUCCAUGACACCAUAGGAUCACUAUCCCCCCGAUCCCGAUCCCAAGCAGCACUAGGGAUCAGAUCCCAGCUCCAGGAAACCCUUUGGAAGAGCUCAUUUGGGUUCAUUUCUGUCUCUUUGCCCUUUGCAGAGGAACGGGAUCUGAUCAUCUGUGAGUAUUCCCAGCUCCAUCCCACUGCUGUUCCUAGGGAUCAGCAACACCAGCACUUGGGGGGUCAUGGAUCCAGGCGCUUAUCCCCCUCUAAAUCCCAUUGGAUUCUUCCUGGGUCAUAUGUGGGGCUGGUUCUGCCCCAUAAGUGCUCAUUGUGUGAGGCUCGAAGGGGUUGGGAGCGGAAUAGGGAUGGGAAUGAAGCAUUCCCAGAUCCCAAGAGGAGCUCUGGGAUACGCUGGGAUUCCAUAGGAUUUAUUCCCGUUAUUCCCUUUCUUCCAGGGGAAAACGAAGCUGAGAUCCGGCGCCUGAGGGAGCUGCUGGGUUUUCCCGACCACAGAUCCCAUAGGAACAGGGCUGAGGAUGACAUUAACCCGGAUCCCUUCCCUCUUGCGGAGAGCCAGGAUUCAGGAAUGCGUGAGUGCAUUUGGGGUCCCUGGAAUCUGAUCCCUGAAUCCCUAUGAGGGUUUCUGCUCCUUCCUCAUUCCCAAGGUUUUCCCUCUGGAAUUCCUGCCUUCCCCUUCCAUAACUUCCUCCCCUUCCUCUUGAAGGGAAUCUGGAGCUGAGCUGGAUCCAUAGGGAUUUGGUGGCUCUGGUUGGCUCUUCCCAGCCUUUGGCAUCUGCUGUAGGGAUAACAGCAGAGGGCCAAGGGAUAGAGCCUGGGAUGGGGCUGGGAAAGGGCAAAUCCAGGUCUCACCUUUCCCUCUGGCAGAGGAGCUGAGGGAGCAGGAAGCUGGGAGUGCUUGUUCCCAAUGGAUCCAUCCCAUUCCAUCCCAUCCCAUCCCAUCCCAUUCCAUCCCAUUCCAUCCCAUCCCCAUCCCAUCCAUCC
rnacentral:lncRNA from 14 species